GAACSGUGCRAASGUUGUUSGGAWUCAYUGGGSUUAAAGGGKGSGUAGGSGGGGUUKUAAGUCAGUGKUGAAAUCUCCAGGCUUAACUGGAGAACAGCCUUUGAUACUGCGACUCUCGAGAAGGAUAGGGGCAAUUGGAACAGUAGGUGGAGCGGUGAAAUGCGUUGAUAUCUACKGGAACUCCGGUGGCGAAAGCGAAUUGCUGGAUCCUUUYUGACGCUGAGGCACGAAAGCUAGGGGAGCAAACGGGAUUAGAUACCCCGGUAGUCCUAGCCCUAAACGAUGGGUACUAGGUAGUGGACUUCACAUGGGUUCACUGCCGAAGCUAAAGUGCUAAGUACCCCGCCUGGGGAGUAUGGUC
rnacentral:rRNA from 1 species